rnacentral:tRNA from 1 species
ACUUUUAAAGGAUAGAAGCAAUCCAUUGGUCUUAGGAACCAAAACUUUGGUGCAACUCCAAAUAAAAGUA